rnacentral:rRNA from 1 species
UACGUAGGGUGCGAGCGUUGUCCGGAAUUAUUGGGCGUAAAGGGCUCGUAGGCGGUGUGUCGCGUCGGCCGUGAAAACCUGCAGCUUAACUGUGGGCUUGCGGUCGAUACGGGCAUCACUGGAGUUCGGCAGGGGAGACUGGAAUUCCUGGUGUAGCGGUGAAAUGCGCAGAUAUCAGGAGGAACACCGGUGGCGAAGGCGGAUCUCUGGGCCAUUACUGACGCUGAGGAGCGAAAGCGUGGGGAGCGAACAGG